rnacentral:rRNA from 1 species
GGUGUAGACGGUUUUUAAGUCGGGUGUGAAAUCUCCUAACUCAAUUAGGAGAGGUCAUUCGAUACUGGGAGACUUGAGGGCAGCAGAGGAAGGCGGAACUCCCGGUGUAGCGGUGAUAUGCGUAGAUAUCGGGAGGAACACUAGUGGCGAAGGCGGCCUUCUAGGCUGUUCCUGACGUUGAGGCCCAAAAGCGUGGGGAGCGAAAC